UUAUCUAAAAUACGCUAUUUGCCUUAUUCACCUGGCGGCCAGAGUGAGGCUGCAGGCUACACUUGCCAUUACACCUCAGUCCAGCAGAUGGUGAUGGUAAUGCACUCUGUUUGCAAACUGCCAAAAAAAAAAGCUCACCGAAAAAGAAGAAAGGGUUC